AAUAUUGCACAAUGGAGGGGACUCUGAUGCAGCGACGCCGCGUGAGUGGUGAGGGCUUUCGAGUCGUAAAACUCUGUCCUGGGGGACGAGAAUGACGGUACCCAAGGGAGAAGCACCGGCUAACUCCUUCCCAGCAGCCGCGGUAAUACGUAGGGGGCAAGCGUUGUCCGGAUUUACUGGGCGUAAAGGGCGCGUAGGCGGUAGCAUGAGUCAGAUGUGAAAGUCCAGGGCUCAACCGUGGAAUUGCAUUUGAAACUGUACUACUUGAGUGCAGGAGAGGAGGGCGGAAUUCCUAGUGUAGCGGUGAAAUGCGUAGAGAUUAGGAAGACCACCAGUGGCGAAGGCGGCUCUCUGGACUGUAACUGACGCUGAGGCGCGAAAGCGUGGGUAGCGAA
rnacentral:rRNA from 1 species